GAGGGUAUAGCUCAGUGGUAGAGUGCAUGUUUAGCAUGCACAGUGGAUGUCCUGGGUUCAAUCCCCAGUACCUUCU
rnacentral:tRNA from 1 species